rnacentral:rRNA from 1 species
GCAUUAUACCGCGAAACUGCGAAUGGCUCAUUAAAUCAGUUAUCGUUUAUUUGAUAGUGCCUGUCCUACUUGGAUAACCGUGGUAAUUCUAGAGCUAAUACAUGCUAAAAAUCCCGACUUCGGAAGGGAUGCAUUUAUUGGAUACAGAACCAACGCCCUUCGGGGCUUCCUGGUGAAUCACAAUAACUCCGCGGAUCGCACGGCCUUGCGCCGGCGAUGGUUCAUUCAAAUUUCUGCCCUAUCAACUUUCGACGGCUGGGUCUUGGCCAGCCGUGGUGACAACGGGUAACGGAGGGUUAGGGCUUGACCCCGGAGAAGGAGCCUGAGAGACGGCUACUACAUCCAAGGAAGGCAGCAGGCGCGCAAAUUACCCAAUCCCGACACGGGGAGGUAGUGACAAUAAAUACUGAUCCAGGGCUCUUUUGGGUCUUGGAAUUGGAAUGAGUACAAUUUAAAUCCCUUAACGAGGAACAAUUGGAGGGCAAGUCUGGUGCCAGCAGCCGCGGUAAUUCCAGCUCCAAUAGCGUAUAUUAAAGUUGUUGAGGUUAAAAAGCUCGUAGUUGAACCUUGGCCCUGGCUGGCCGGUCCGCCUCACCGCGAGCACUGGUCCGGCCGGGCCUUCCUUCUGGAGAACCUCAUGCCCUUCACUGGGCGUGUUGGGGACCAGGACUUUUACUUUGAAAAAAUUAGAGUGUUCAAAGCAGGCCUUUGCUCGAAUACGUUAGCAUGGAAUAAUAGAAUAGGACGUGCGGUCCUAUUUUGUUGGUUUCUAGGACCGCCGUAAUGAUUAAUAGGGACAGUCGGGGGCAUCAGUAUUCAAUUGUCAGAGGUGAAAUUCUUGGAUUUAUUGAAGACUAACUACUGCGAAAGCAUUUGCCAAGGAUGUUUUCAUUAAUCAGUGAACGAAAGUUAGGGGAUCGAAGACGAUCAGAUACCGUCGUAGUCUUAACCGUAAACUAUGCCGACUAGGGAUCGGGCGAUGUUCUUUUUCUGACUCGCUCGGCACCUUACGAGAAAUCAAAG